rnacentral:rRNA from 1 species
UACGUAGGGAGCGAGCGUUGUCCGGAAUCAUUGGGCGUAAAGCGCGCGUAGGCGGCCCGAUAAGUCCGCUGUGAAAGUCAACGGCUCAACUGUUGGAUGCCGGUGGAUACUGUCGGGCUAGAGUACGGAAGAGGCAAGUGGAAUUCCUGGUGUAGCGGUGGAAUGCGCAGAUAUCAGGAGGAACACCUAUAGCGAAGGCAGCUUGCUGGGACGUUACUGACGCUAAGGCG